GAAAGAAUGCCCUGCUUGGAGCUAAUCAAAAAUAUGAAGAAAUAAUCUUCAGCAAGCCGGAUGAAAUGCCAUUUGAAAAGGAGCAUGCUUCUAAUGUCCCUGAGAACAACCUCGAGAGUGAGAAAAAUCUCAGUCAUCUUGACAAGAUCCACAUUUGUCAGCAGUCCUUUGAACACAAUGGGAAAGAGAAAACUUUCAGCGGGAAGAAGAUAGUCCUUAUGUGUGAGCAAGUUUAUAGCAAAGACCCAUGUAAUCAGCAACCUGUCAGUGUGGGAGAAGCAAUUCAUGUUGGCUACUAUAAAUCUUGCCUUAGCACCAAACUGAGAACUGACACAGGAGAAAAUUUGUAUGUGUCCAAUGAAUGUAAAGAAAACAUGUAC